UGAUAGUGGCGACGGGUGAGUACACGUGGGCAAUCUGCCCUGCACUCUGGGACAAGCCCUGGAAACGGGGUCUAAUACCGGAUACGACACGGGACCGCAUGGUCUUCGUGUGGAAAGCUCCGGCGGUGCAGGAUGAGCCCGCGGCCUAUCAGCUUGUUGGUGAGGUAAUGGCUCACCAAGGCGACGACGGGUAGCCGGCCUGAGAGGGCGACCGGCCACACUGGGACUGAGACACGGCCCAGACUCCUACGGGAGGCAGCAGUGGGGAAUAUUGCACAAUGGGCGAAAGCCUGAUGCAGCGACGCCGCGUGAGGGAUGACGGCCUUCGGGUUGUAAACCUCUUUCAGCAGGGAAGAAGCGAAAGUGACGGUACCUGCAGAAGAAGCGCCGGCUAACUACGUGCCAGCAGCCGCGGUAAUACGUAGGGCGCAAGCGUUGUCCGGAAUUAUUGGGCGUAAAGAGCUCGUAGGCGGCUUGUCACGUCGGAUGUGAAAGCCCGGGGCUUAACCCCGGGUCUGCAUUCGAUACGGGCAGGCUAGAGUUCGGUAGGGGAGAUCGGAAUUCCUGGUGUAGCGGUGAAAUGCGCAGAUAUCAGGAGGAACACCGGUGGCGAAGGCGGAUCUCUGGGCCGAUACUGACGCUGAGGAGCGAAAGCGUGGGGAGCGAACAGGAUUAGAUACCCUGGUAGUCCACGCCGUAAACGGUGGGCACUAUGUGUGGGCAACAUUCCACGUUGUCCGUGCCGCAGCUAACGCAUUAAGUGCCCCGCCUGGGGAGUACGGCCGCAAGGCUAAAACUCAAAGGAAAUUGACGGG
rnacentral:rRNA from 1 species